rnacentral:rRNA from 1 species
AUAUCAACUUUCUCAUUUUUUCUUUUGAAGCUUAUUUUAGAGUAAAAAAGCUCUAAUAACCUAGAGGGACGACAAGACCCUAGAACCUUUUCUAUUAUUUGAAACAAUUAUUUAAGAGUUCAUGUUUAAACAAUUAGAUUCGCUGGGGCGGCGCUUGAUUCAAACAUCUAGCACAAAAACAUAUUGAAUGAAUUUCUUUAUCUUUUUUAAGAGCCAUGAAGGUACUCUAGGGAUAACAGCAUAAUUCUUUUUUAGAGCCCUUAUCGACAAAAGAGAUUAUGACCUCGAUGUUGAAUUAAAAAUUCUAGCUUGGCAGUCUUAAGUUAAGAAGGUCUGUUCGACCUUUAAAUUUUUACGUGAUCUGAUUCAGACCGGA